rnacentral:tRNA from 1 species
UAGAGUAAGCUAAACAAGCUGUCGGGCCCAUACCCCGAAAAUGUUGGUCAAAACCCUUCCCCUACUAAU